rnacentral:rRNA from 1 species
AUCGAACGCUGGCGGCAGGCCUAACACAUGCAAGUCGAACGGUAACAGCAAACUGCUUGCUGGUUCGCUGACGAGCGGCGGACGGGUUAGCAAUGUCUGCGGAACUGCCCGAGGGAGGGAGCUCUCAACUCGAAUCCGUACCUAAUACGGCAUACCGUCGCACGACCAAAGAGGCGGACUCUGGGGCCCCUUGUCAUGGGGUGUGCGCAGAUGGGAUGGGCUAGCUGGUGGGGUAGUGGCUCACCAAGGCGCCGCACGCGAGCUGGUCUGAGAGGGUGACCAGCCACACUGGAAGUGAGACACAGUCCAGACUCCUACGGGAGGCAGCAGUGCGGAAUCUUGCACAAUGGGCGCGAGCCUGAUGUAGCCAUGCCGCGUGUAUGAAGAAGGCCUUCGGGUUGGUGAGUAAUGACGGCGGUAGGGAAGGAAGGAACGUUUGUACGGGACGUCAUUGACGUUACCCGAAGAAGAAGCCCCGGCUAACUCCGUG